UAUAAGCUGUACAACUGGCGGAAAGCAUAUAUAGAAUAUCAGAUAGAGCAUUCAGCAUGGUGUUGAAGUAUGUAUCAUUGCAUUGAAGUAAGUAUAUGUGGUGGGAUUACCCACAGGGAGUACAGUAAUAAUAUGUUUAUCAGCCGACCGCCUGGGCAACCCUG
rnacentral:ncRNA from 10 species